rnacentral:rRNA from 1 species
GACGAACGCUGGCGGCGUGCUUAACACAUGCAAGUCGAACGGAAAGGCCUGCUUUCCCUUGUGGAUUGCGGGUACUCGAGUGGCGAACGGGUGAGUAACACGUGAGUGAUCUGCCCCCAACUUGGGUAUAAGCCUGGGAAACUGGGUCUAAUUCCCGAUAGGACUGCAGGGUGGUGCCUGUGGUGGAAAACGAUUUUCUAGUGGUUGGGGAUGAGCUCGCGGCCUAUCAGCUUGUUGGUGGGGUAAUGGCCUACCAAGGCGGCGACGGGUAGCCGGCCUGGGAGGGUGGACGGGCACGUUGGGACUGAGAUACGGCCCAGACGCCUACGGGAGGCAGCAGUGGGGAAGAUGGCACAAGGGGCGGAAGCCUGAUGCAGCGACGCCGCGUGGGGGAUGACGGCCUUCGGGUUGUAAACUCCUUUCGACCGCGAGGAAGCCACCUGGUUGGAAGGGUGGUGACGGUAGUGGUAGAAGAAGCACCGGCUAACUACGUG